rnacentral:rRNA from 1 species
GGGGAAUCUUGGACAAUGGGCGCAAGCCUGAUCCAGCCAUGCCGCGUGAGUGAAGAAGGUCUUCGGAUUGUAAAGCUCUUUUGCCAGGGACGAUAAUGACGGUACCUGGAGAAUAAGCCCCGGCAAACUUCGUGCCAGCAGCCGCGGUAAUACGAAGGGGGCUAGCGUUGUUCGGAAUUACUGGGCGUAAAGCGCACGUAGGCGGGUCGUUAAGUCAGGGGUGAAAUCCCGGAGCUCAACUCCGGAACUGCCUUUGAUACUGGCGAUCUAGAGAUCGGAAGAGGUGAGUGGAAUUCCCAGUGUAGAGGUGAAAUUCGUAGAUAUUGGGAAGAACACCAGUGGCGAAGGCGGCUCACUGGUCCGAUACUGACGCUGAGGUGCGAAAGCGUGGGGAGCAAAC